rnacentral:misc_RNA from 1 species
GAAAUGCGAUAAGUAAUGUGAAUUGCAGAAUUCAGUGAAUCAUCGAAUCUUUGCACGCACCUUGCGCUCCUUGGUAUUCCUUGGAGCAUGCCUGUUUGAGUAUCAUGAAAUCUUCAAAGUAAAUCUUUUGUUAACUCAAUUGGUUUCUACUUUGGUAUUGGAGGUCUUUGCAGCUUCACACCCGCUCCUCUUUGUUCAUUAGCUGGAUCUCAGUGUUAUGCUUGGUUCCACUCGGCGUGAUAAGUUAUCUAUCGCUGAGGACACUGUAAAAGGUGGCCAAGGUAAAUGCAGAUGAACCGCUUCUAAUAGUCCAUUGACUUGGACAAUACUUUUAUGAUCUGAUCUCAAAUCAGGUAGGACUACCCGCUGAACUUAAGC